rnacentral:rRNA from 1 species
UACGUAGGGUGCAGGCGUUAAUCGGAAUUACUGGGCGUAAAGCGUGCGCAGGCGGUUCUGUAAGUCAGGUGUGAAAGCCCCGGGCUUAACCUGGGAAUUGCGGUUGAAACUACAGGGCUAGAAUCUGGCAGAGGGGGGUGGAAUUCCACGUGUAGCAGUGAAAUGCGUAGAGAUGUGGAGGAACACCGAUGGCGAAGGCAGCCCCCUGGGCUGAGAUUGACGCUCAGGCACGAAAGCGUGGGGAGCAAACAGG